rnacentral:miRNA from 1 species
AGUUCCCAGUAGGUUCGGCCACC